CUGCAACAAAUUCCCCAAGAAAAAGCCUAAGGAUGUCUGUGUCCAAUUCUACUGCCCAUGAAGCAAGCUCCCAGCGUCUCUGCCUAGAAUACACAUUAAAUCUCUGUUUCACACAGAGGCAGCUAAAGCAUAAAUUAAAGUCAAGAUUUUCCAAAAUAGGAACACAGUGCCUUCCACAGAAAGGUGUGAGAAGAAAGGAUGCUAUGCUGUUAGACCUUAUCACAGUGCUCCUGGUGCCAUGAUAACACUACAGAAAGAGCCGCCUGCAAACAUUCCCCUGCACCUGGAGAAAUAGAGAUUUUUGUAUGGUCUACCAGAAAAUGUUAAGCCCUAAAAAGAAAUGUGCAAAAAUCUGAAGCCUUUGAAGAGAGGUAUUUUUUAUGAACAACACACCUGGUUCUGCACUUGCCAAACCUAUAUCAUAGGAAACCUUCACAUUUCAGCUACUAUACAAGUGUGAAUGAAGACCUGGACAUCCAGUUCCAGAGAAGGUUCCAAGCCAAGGGCUCAAAUCUUGCACACAAAACCGAAUAAACCCUCUGGACAUCCAGGGGUGGAGUCUUCUGCUCUCCCUAUUCUCGAUGACUACUCCAGACCUUGGGAUCUGACUCCAAGCAAAGAGGGACUUAUUUUAGUCAUUGAGGUUCACUGGCCUCCUAAAUGCUUUGUUCAUGUUUUUAAAUCUCACAAAUUUCAUAUUGAAAAUCAAUUGCUGUCCUGUCUAAAUCCUGCAAAUCUAACUCAAAUAUUUUUUUUUUCCCCUCUGGCAGGCAUUCAAUUAGUCUGCUUGCUUGAGUAAGGAUUACUUAUAUGAGAAAAAGUUUGUGAUAUGAAGCUCAUUAAACUCUUGGUUCAUCAGGUGAAGGGAAAAGAUCUGCAUUUCAAAAUGUGUCUAUUCCUCUUAUUAGAUUUUCUUUGGCUUUUUGUUCUGUUUCAGAUCAUUCACUUAUUUACUCUGAGCUUAUUGUGCCUUCUGUCAGUGUCAAUAUGGCUCAGCUGGCAGCAGAUGCUCCUCUAGAUUUGAGCACACUGGUGUGAAAUAACGAGAAUGGAAUGAGAAUUGAUGUGAACCUUUGCCUCAAAUCUGAACUGAAGCCUUAA